rnacentral:tRNA from 1 species
AAGAUGUUAGUAAAACUAUUACAUUACCUUGUCAUGGUAAAAUUACAAAGUAACCUUUGUACAUCUUA